rnacentral:rRNA from 1 species
GAGUUUGAUCCUGGCUCAGAACGAACGCUGGCGGCGUGCCUAACACAUGCAAGUCGAACGAGAAACCCUGUAGCAAUACGGGGGAGUAAAGUGGCGAACGGGUGAGUAAUGCGUGGGUAACCUGCCUCAGAGAUCGGAAUAACCCCGCGAAAGUGGGGCUAAUACCGGAUAAGACCACAGGCCGAGAGGUCAGAGGUAAAAAGGUGGCCUAUGACCCGCAAGGGUUAUGCUGCCGCUUGGAGAGGGGCUCACGUCCCAUCAGCUAGUUGGUAGGGUAACGGCUUACCAAGGCAGCGACGGGUAGCUGGUCUGAGAGGACGAUCAGCCACAUUGGCACUGAGACACGGGCCAGACUCCUACGGGAGGCAGCAGUGAGGAAUAUUGGGCAAUGGGGGAAACCCUGACCCAGCGACGCCGCGUGAGGGAAGAAGGCCUUCGGGUCGUAAACCUCUUUUAGUCGGAAAGAAACCCCCGCCGUAAAUAGCGACGGGGAUGACGGUACCGGCGGAAUAAGCCACGGCUAACUCUGUGCCAGCAGCCGCGGUAAGACAGAGGUGGCGAGCGUUGUUCGGAGUUACUGGGCGUAAAGAGCAUGUAGGCGGCUGGAUAAGUUCCACGUGAAAGCCCUCCGCUUAACGGAGGAACGGCGCGGAAGACUAUUCGGCUAGAGGGUUGGAGAGGAGAGCGGAAUUCCUGGUGUAGCGGUGAAAUGCAUAGAUAUCAGGAGGAACACCGGUGGCGAAGGCGGCUCUCUGGACAACACCUGACGCUCAAGAGCGAAAGCGUGGGGAGCGAACGGGAUUAGAUACCCCGGUAGUCCACGCCCUAAACGAUGGGCACUCAGUGUGGGAGGUGUCGACCCCUUCCGUGCUGCAGCUAACGCAGUAAGUGCCCCGCCUGGGGAGUACGGCCGCAAGGUUGAAACUCAAAGGAAUUGACGGGGGCCCGCACAAGCGGUGGAGCAUGUGGUUUAAUUCGACGCAACGCGAAGAACCUUACCUGGGCUUGACAUGCUGGUAGUAAGGAUCUGAAAGGUGAAUGAGCCCCGCAAGGGGAAGCCAGCACAGGUGCUGCAUGGCUGUCGUCAGCUCGUGCCGUGAGGUGUUGGGUUAAGUCCCGCAACGAGCGCAACCCUCGCCCUCUGUUUGCCACCGGGUCAUGCCGGGCACUCUGAGGGGACUGCGCCGGAUAACGGCGAGGAAGGUGAGGACGACGUCAAGUCAUCAUGGCCCUUAUGUCCAGGGCGACACACGUGCUACAAUGGUCGGUACAAAGAGUCGCAAUCCCGUAAGGAGGAGCCAAUCUCAAAAAGCCGGCCUCAGUUCAGAUCGAGGUCUGCAAUUCGACCUCGUGAAGGUGGAAUCGCUAGUAAUCGCGCAUCAGAACGGCGCGGUGAAUACGUUCCCGGGCCUUGUACACACCGCCCGUCACACCACGAAAGUCCGUUGUACCAGAAGUCGGUGGGCUAACCCCGCAAGGGGAGGCAGCCGCCCAAGGUAUGGCUGGUGAUUGGGGUGAAGUCGUAACAAGGUAACC